AGCUAUUAGGGGGUUUUUAAUCAUGAAAACAAGUUAAUAUAUGUAAGUAGACCUCCAUAACUAACAUAUAUGUGUGAUACAAGCAUUCUAUGUCACCUUUAAAUACUUUCUGGAAAAUGUUUCAGAUUUGGAACCAACUUUGUUCUGGACGCAAAGAUGAGCCGUGACUAGUGACAAAGGUCGCUGUGACAUUACAGCAAGAAUGGGUUGUGGCCCACAGUAUAACAAAGAUGUGGGACUGUUGGACUAAAGCUUUUAGGAAUACAAUAUGAAAAUAUAGUCAGAGUAUAAGAAAAAAUAUCAAUAUUUUAUACUUUAUAGAUGCUUUGAUAAAUUGCAUAUUGCAACAUGAUUGAAACAUUAAAAACAAUAAACACUGUAUGGUAGAAUCAUGUGCUCCUGCCACCUAUACCCAGUACCUUUACGUUCACCUGUGAUGAUAAAUGACACCACAUUAAUCUGACCUUUUAUGUAGGUAAACAACACCAUCUAGUGGUCAAAGUGUUGCAGUCAAUAAUAUAAUCUAGGAACGGGCAUUUCCAGCUAAAGUCUGAAAUUAGAGGAGCAAUUUUUAGAUACAUUCAAGAAACCUGUAAAUGUCAUGACUGCAAACACACAUCCACAGUGUUUGCUGCUGCUGCCAUCUUGUAAUAAUCAAUUCACCAAAAAUGGGUAUUUUAUGAAUGCAAUCAUUGAUAAAAUAUUUAUUGUGCAGAUGCAUAACAAAAUACAUAACAAAUAGGUGCACUCACAGAUUAACUUUUUAUCAUCUAGCAAUCUAGCAAAUACUGGAAUACUCGAGAUCAGGGGUCUUCAACAUUUUCAAGGCCAAGGACCCCCAAACUGAUAGAGAGAUGGCGUGGGGACCCCCUACUUAUAUACUGUAUGUUGUAUAAAAUUGUGUUUUAUAUUAAACUGGUCCUAUAGUGCCAUGUAUAAAGGUACCUUGUUAUUGUGUAUUCACUACUAAGAUAUUCAAAUAAUACACAGGUUCAUAUAUUCAUGUUUUUGUUUUAAACAUGUGCAAGGUACAGUGAGUAGGGUGGCCAUGCCACUGCCAUUCAUAAACAUAACUGUAAUUCAUAAACAUAACAUAACACAAUAAACUGACAGCUGCCAAGAUCAACAAAGUCUGUAAAUUGCAUGUAAUCAUGCAUAAAAACUAUUCAAAUUGUCAUUUUUAAAACAUAAAUGUGGAAACAAUAAUUAACGGAAACUGCGUGCUGCCUGUUACAUUACUCCAGCCUUUCAGUUUCAUUUUGUGGAAACAAUUGCGGGGGGAAUAUAAGAAAAUGUCUACUCAAACAAAACUUUUGCGGCCCCCCUGCAGUACCUCCCCCUGUUGAAGACCUGCGCUCAAGAUCAAUAUUCAAUGGCUCUUAUGGUUGUGAAACUGUAGUGAGUCAACACACAGUAAAUUACCACAAUAAUUAAAAGUUCACUCACCUGUCCUUGAUUUGAUUCUGGCCAGUGAAAGUAAAUCUGCGUAAUCCAUGUGUUUUUUUGUGUUCAUCAGAUGGUGGAAGCUCAUCUGCCUCAAUCCGUGAGGGAGAUCCUGAUGUGGACUGUGGACUUUUUCAAAAAUAAUCUCCUGGGCUGGAUUCGGGAACACGGUGGAUGGAUCAACAGUUUCUCAGAGCUGGCAGCGGUGUCCAUGCACAGCGUGUCCUCCAUGAACUCCCACACAGGAGGCCUGUUCAUCAUCUUCAUUGCCGGCCUGGUCCUUGGAAGCUUCAUCACCUGGAGACUGACCAGAUGACACAGACAGACAGACACACACACACACACAGGGGGAGAGAAGAUAAUUAUUUCUACCUACUUUUCUACUUUUCUACGAUAGUCUAUGCAUGACAUUGAACACUUGAAGAAAACAACAGUCAUAUCCUCAUCAAAUACGUACUGUAACCCUCCUGCUCACACAGAUCUGUCUGUCAUGAAGCUUUGAAAGAAAACAUGCAUGGUUUCAUGAUGUGUGGCUUCAGCAGUGUAUUAUCAGCAGUCACAUGUUUUUGGUGUUUUUAAUUGAAGACCCCCUUUUGUUAGAAAUAUGUAAAUAGAAAUGACUAAGUCCACCCCUUUUAUUUUUUGGGUAUAAAAUUGUUUUUUUUACAUUUUAUACUUAUAUUUUAUAGUUUUUGUUCAUUCAUAACAAAAAAAGAAAUCUUCAAAACAAUCUGUUAUGAUUAUAAUGGUUUGAACAUGUGUGAACUGUGAAACAGCAUGUGUUUACAAAUGGUUGAGAGGUUGAGAGAAAGAGAAGUCCCUUUUAACAGAAGAAAUCUCUGAUGGAACCAGACUCUGAGACUCUGUACCAACAUCUGCCUUGACGGGCUGGGUUAGAAGAAAGGAGGCAGGGUUAGUGACGUAUGGAAUGGUUGUCUUAAAAGUGCUUUAUGAACAAAGGAUUGGAUUGAUUACCACCAUGCACUCCUUUCUGCUUAAAAGCCCGGAUUGUAUGACCAGUCUUUAUUUGACAUCUAACCGGUAACUCUCAUCAAGUCUGUCCUUCGCUGCAGCGCUUUCUUCCGAGGAUCACCAGCUGUGCCUGUUCAGCCUGCCACACAGAGUAAUCUUUUCUCUCAUGUUUGUCUCACGUGAGAUAAAACUGCUUGAAGAGCUUCACAGCCACAUGCUGUAAGUGAAGAAACAAAGCUCAAACUUCAAAGCUUCACUAUCAAAUUAAGAAAAGUUAAAGUCUUAUGAAUUCAUCUUCCAUCCUGACCAUGUUCUGCUUGUUUCUUUUUGGGAAUAUUUACGUAGUUAAUUGUACAGUCGGCUGUUCAUACAAAUAAAAAUCAUGCAUGAUUCAUGA